GGUUAAGCGACUAAGCGUACACGGUGGAUGCCCUGGCAGUCAGAGGCGAUGAAGGACGUGCUAAUCUGCGAUAAGCGUCGGUAAGGUGAUAUGAACCGUUAUAACCGGCGAUUUCCGAAUGGGGAAACCCAGUGUGUUUCGACACACUAUCAUUAACUGAAUCCAUAGGUUAAUGAGGCGAACCGGGGAACUGAAACAUCUAAGUACCCCGAGGAAAAGAAAUCAACCGAGAUUCCCCCAGUAGCGGCGAGCGAACGGGGAGGAGCCCAGAGCCUGAAUCAGUGUGUGUGUUAGUGGAAGCGUCUGGAAAGGCGUGCGAUACAGGGUGACAGCCCCGUACACAAAAAUGCACAUAUUGUGAGCUCGAUGAGUAGGGCGGGACACGUGGUAUCCUGUCUGAAUAUGGGGGACCAUCCUCCAAGGCUAAAUACUCCUGACUGACCGAUAGUGAACCAGUACCGUGAGGGAAAGGCGAAAAGAACCCCGGCGAGGGGAGUGAAAAAGAACCUGAAACCGUGUACGUACAAGCAGUGGGAGCCUCUUAAUGGGGUGACUGCGUACCUUUUGUAUAAUGGGUCAGCGACUUAUAUUCUGUAGCAAGGUUAACCGAAUAGGGGAGCCGAAGGGAAACCGAGUCUUAACUGGGCGUUAAGUUGCAGGGUAUAGACCCGAAACCCGGUGAUCUAGCCAUGGGCAGGUUGAAGGUUGGGUAACACUAACUGGAGGACCGAACCGACUAAUGUUGAAAAAUUAGCGGAUGACUUGUGGCUGGGGGUGAAAGGCCAAUCAAACCGGGAGAUAGCUGGUUCUCCCCGAAAGCUAUUUAGGUAGCGCCUCGUGAAUUCAUCUCCGGGGGUAGAGCACUGUUUCGGCAAGGGGGUCAUCCCGACUUACCAACCCGAUGCAAACUGCGAAUACCGGAGAAUGUUAUCACGGGAGACACACGGCGGGUGCUAACGUCCGUCGUGAAGAGGGAAACAACCCAGACCGCCAGCUAAGGUCCCAAAGUCAUGGUUAAGUGGGAAACGAUGUGGGAAGGCCCAGACAGCCAGGAUGUUGGCUUAGAAGCAGCCAUCAUUUAAAGAAAGCGUAAUAGCUCACUGGUCGAGUCGGCCUGCGCGGAAGAUGUAACGGGGCUAAACCAUGCACCGAAGCUGCGGCAGCGACACUAUGUGUUGUUGGGUAGGGGAGCGUUCUGUAAGCCUGUGAAGGUGUGCUGUGAGGCAUGCUGGAGGUAUCAGAAGUGCGAAUGCUGACAUAAGUAACGAUAAAGCGGGUGAAAAGCCCGCUCGCCGGAAGACCAAGGGUUCCUGUCCAACGUUAAUCGGGGCAGGGUGAGUCGACCCCUAAGGCGAGGCCGAAAGGCGUAGUCGAUGGGAAACAGGUUAAUAUUCCUGUACUUGGUGUUACUGCGAAGGGGGACGGAGAAGGCUAUGUUGGCCGGGCGACGGUUGUCCCGGUUUAAGCGUGUAGGCUGGUUUUCCAGGCAAAUCCGGAAAACCAAGGCUGAGGCGUGAUGACGAGGCACUACGGUGCUGAAGCGACAAAUGCCCUGCUUCCAGGAAAAGCCUCUAAGCAUCAGGUAACAUCAAAUCGUACCCCAAACCGACACAGGUGGUCAGGUAGAGAAUACCAAGGCGCUUGAGAGAACUCGGGUGAAGGAACUAGGCAAAAUGGUGCCGUAACUUCGGGAGAAGGCACGCUGAUAUGUAGGUGAAGCGACUUGCUCGUGGAGCUGAAAUCAGUCGAAGAUACCAGCUGGCUGCAACUGUUUAUUAAAAACACAGCACUGUGCAAACACGAAAGUGGACGUAUACGGUGUGACGCCUGCCCGGUGCCGGAAGGUUAAUUGAUGGGGUUAGCGGUAACGCGAAGCUCUUGAUCGAAGCCCCGGUAAACGGCGGUACGUAACUAUAACGGUCCUAAGGUAGCGAAAUUCCUUGUCGGGUAAGUUCCGACCUGCACGAAUGGCGUAAUGAUGGCCAGGCUGUCUCCACCCGAGACUCAGUGAAAUUGAACUCGCUGUGAAGAUGCAGUGUACCCGCGGCAAGACGGAAAGACCCCGUGAACCUUUACUAUAGCUUGACACUGAACAUUGAGCCUUGAUGUGUAGGAUAGGUGGGAGGCUUUGAAGUGUGGACGCCAGUCUGCAUGGAGCCGACCUUGAAAUACCACCCUUUAAUGUUUGAUGUUCUAACGUUGGCCCGUAAUCCGGGUUGCGGACAGUGUCUGGUGGGUAGUUUGACUGGGGCGGUCUCCUCCUAAAGAGUAACGGAGGAGCACGAAGGUUGGCUAAUCCUGGUCGGACAUCAGGAGGUUAGUGCAAUGGCAUAAGCCAGCUUGACUGCGAGCGUGACGGCGCGAGCAGGUGCGAAAGCAGGUCAUAGUGAUCCGGUGGUUCUGAAUGGAAGGGCCAUCGCUCAACGGAUAAAAGGUACUCCGGGGAUAACAGGCUGAUACCGCCCAAGAGUUCAUAUCGACGGCGGUGUUUGGCACCUCGAUGUCGGCUCAUCACAUCCUGGGGCUGAAGUAGGUCCCAAGGGUAUGGCUGUUCGCCAUUUAAAGUGGUACGCGAGCUGGGUUUAGAACGUCGUGAGACAGUUCGGUCCCUAUCUGCCGUGGGCGCUGGAGAACUGAGGGGGCUGCUCCUAGUACGAGAGGACCGGAGUGGACGCAUCACUGGUGUUCGGGUUGUCAUGCCAAUGGCACUGCCCGGUAGCUAAAUGCGGAAGAGAUAAGUGCUGAAAGCAUCUAAGCACGAAACUUGCCCCGAGAUGAGUUCUCCCUGAGACUUAGAGUCUCCUGAAGGAACGUUGAAGACGACGACGUUGAUAGGCCGGGUGUGUAAGCGCAGCGAUGCGUUGAGCUAACCGGUACUAAUGAACCGUGAGGCUUAACCUU
rnacentral:rRNA from 1 species